AUCAGCAUUACGCACAUCCUGCUCCCUCUAUAUAUAUAUAUAUUAUAUAGGUAUAAAUUUGUGUUUCAUAAAUAUGUUUAUCGUUUCUUUUUGAUUAGCUAAAUGGAAAUAACUUUUAAGUUUGCGUGUGUCUGAAUGAGUGAGCGUGUGUGUGUGUGUGUGUGAGUGUGUGUG